GUCGGUAUCGAUUAGGGGUUAAAUCACUUCGUUGUGGUCAAGUCGUUCCGAAGAGCCACUGGUUCGAUUCCAGUUACCGACA
rnacentral:tRNA from 1 species